GGUUCCGUGGUGUUGUGGUUAUCACGUUCGCUUUCCGCGCGAAAGGACCCCUGUUCGUUCCCGGCGGAACCA